rnacentral:rRNA from 1 species
CGGACGGGUGAGUAACACGUGGAUAACCUACCUAUAAGACUGGGAUAACUUCGGGAAACCGGAGCUAAUACCGGAUAAUAUAUUGAACCGCAUGGUUCAAUAGUGAAAGACGGUUUUGCUGUCACUUAUAUAUGGAUCCGCGCCGCAUUAGCUAGUUGGUAAGGUAACGGCUUACCAAGGCAACGAUGCGUAGCCGACCUGAGAGGGUGAUCGGCCACACUGGAACUGAGACACGGUCCAG